CCGUGAUCCGGGUUGCGGACAGUGUCUGGUGGGUAGUUUGACUGGGGCGGUCUCCUCCUAAAGAGUAACGGAGGAGCACGAAGGUUGGCUAAUCCUGGUCGGACAUCAGGAGGUUAGUGCAAUGGCAUAAGCCAGCUUGACUGCGAGCGUGACGGCGCGAGCAGGUGCGAAAGCAGGUCAUAGUGAUCCGGUGGUUCUGAAUGGAAGGGCCAUCGCUCAACGGAUAAAAGGUACUCCGGGGAUAACAGGCUGAUACCGCCCAAGAGUUCAUAUCGACGGCGGUGUUUGGCACCUCGAUGUCGGCUCAUCACAUCCUGGGGCUGAAGUAGGUCCCAAGGGUAUGGCUGUUCGCCAUUUAAAGUGGUACGCGAGCUGGGUUUAGAACGUCGUGAGACAGUUCGGUCCCUAUCUGCCGUGGGCGCUGGAGAACUGAGGGGGGCUGCUCCUAGUACGAGAGGACCGGAGUGGACGCAUCACUGGUGUUCGGGUUGUCAUGCCAAUGGCACUGCCCGGUAGCUAAAUGCGGAAGAGAUAAGUGCUGAAAGCAUCUAAGCACGAAACUUGCCCCGAGAUGAGUUCUCCCUGAGACUUUAGGUCUCCUGAAGGAACGUUGAAGACGACGACGUUGAUAGGCCGGGUGUGUAAGCGCAGCGAUGCGUUGAGCUAACCGGUACUAAUGAACCGUGAGGCUUAACCUUACA
rnacentral:rRNA from 2 species